AGGUGUCUGGCUCUAAGCUCUCUCCUCUGACCUUGUGGCCCUAGGAUUAAACUCCACUUCCCAGAAGGCCCCGCGGCUGUCUUUAAAUCCCUGAAUAGGCUUUAAUCUGCGUCCUGUCUCGAGCAGAUCAACAGACAGAGAGAAAGUACAGAGAAGGGCAACUACCGGACAACAUGCCGCUGAAACGACAGGACACGGAGCGAGCCCUCCAGGUCAUAGAAGCCUCUCAGAUGGGAGACGAAGGUUUUAAGAACAGAGCUGAACAACUCCUCAACAUCUUCCAGAGCGACCUGUUCCAGGCUCUACUGGAUAUCCAAGAGUUCUAUGAGCUGACAGUGUUUGAGAACCAGACCAGCGACCAGCCGAACACACCUGGACUG